AGGGAAUCUUCCGCAAUGGACGAAAGUCUGACGGAGCAACGCCGCGUGAGCGAAGAAGGCCUUCGGGUCGUAAAGCUCUGUUGUAAGGGAAGAACAAGCAUCGGUUAACUGCCGGUGCCCUGACGGUACCUUACCAGAAAGCCACGGCUAACUACGUGCCAGCAGCCGCGGUAAUACGUAGGUGGCAAGCGUUGUCCGGAAUUAUUGGGCGUAAAGCGCGCGCAGGCGGUCCUUUAAGUCUGAUGUGAAAGCCCACGGCUCAACCGUGGAGGGUCAUUGGAAACUGGGGGACUUGAGUGCAGAAGAGGAAAGCGGAAUUCCACGUGUAGCGGUGAAAUGCGUAGAGAUGUGGAGGAACACCAGUGGCGAAGGCGGCUUUCUGGUCUGUAACUGACGCUGAGGCGCGAAAGCGUGGGGAGCAAAC
rnacentral:rRNA from 1 species